UUGCGGCCAUAUUUCCUUAAAACACUGGUUCUCGUACGAGCAGCAAAGUUAAGCAACGUCAAUCCUGGUCAGUACUUAGAUGGAUGACCGCUUGGAUAUAACAGGUACUGUAGG